ACCGGCGCACGGGUGAGUAACACGUAUGCAACCUGCCUGUAAGCGGGGAAUAACCCGGAGAAAUCCGGACUAAUACCGCAUAAUAUCGAGCUGCUGCAUGGCAACUUGAUUAAACAUUUAUGGCUUACAGAUGGGCAUGCGUAUGAUUAGAUAGUUGGUGAGGUAACGGCUCACCAAGUCAACGAUCAUUAGGGGUUCUGAGAGGAAGGUCCCCCACACUGGUACUGAGACACGGACCAGACUCCUACGGGAGGCAGCAGUGAGGAAUAUUGGUCAAUGGGCGAGAGCCUGAACCAGCCAAGUCGCGUGAAGGAAGAAGGUUCUAUGGAUUGUAAACUUCUUUUGCAUGGGAAUAAAGUGAGCUACGUGUAGCUUAUUGUAUGUACUGUGCGAAUAAGGAUCGGCUAACUCCGUGCCAGCAGCCGCGGUAAUACGGAGGAUCCGAGCGUUAUCCGGAUUUAUUGGGUUUAAAGGGUGCGUAGGCGGGAGAUUAAGUCAGUGGUGAAAGUUUGCAGCUCAACUGUAAAAUUGCCAUUGAAACUGAUUUUCUUGAGUGUAAAUAAGGUUGGGCGGAAUGUGUUGUGUAGCGGUGAAAUGCAUAGAUAUAACACAGAACCCCGAUUGCGAAGGCAGCUUACCGGGCUACAACUGACGCUGAGGCACGAAAGCGUGGGGAUCAAACAGGAUUAGAUACCCUGGUAGUCCACGCAGUAAACGAUGAAUACUAACUGUUUGCGAUAUACAGUAAGCGGUACAGCGAAAGCGUUAA
rnacentral:rRNA from 1 species